AGAACCCUCUCAGAGACCACCAUCUGACUGAUCUACCAAUUGUUCUUAAAUCCAUCAUUACCAUACCACCUCUAAUAUAGCAAAACAAAAUGUAUUACCAUCACCUAGAUAUAUAAUCUUCUACACUAAUUUUGUUGGUGUGUGCAAAUGUCCAGUAAUACAAUAUUUCCAUACAAAAAACCUUACAGUAUAAUCUUCAUCUCCUUAAAAAGGAUCAUCAGUUAUAAUAUUUAUAUUUACUUAAUUUUAUCCUCACAUGACAUAUGUGUAAUUGUUCUCUUUCCUUUGUAAAUUAGUUAUAUGGUUUAUGAAAACUUCAGUGAGUUGUUCAGCAUGAAAUUCUUUUUUGCAUUUUAUACUCAUAUAUUAGAAAGAGCGUUCUAAAUUUAAUUUUCCACAUAUUAGCCCAGUCAUGUUUCCCACUCAUCUUAUUUACAAAUAGCUGCACUUAGCUAGUUUGCAUUAUGUAUAUAAAAGUGUAUUCUCAUUUCAUUGUGCUUUAAUUUAAAUUUUAAUUGUUUUAUUAUGGUGAAAGGCUAUAACAAUUUAGGUAUUCAUAGCUUACUGUGUUUAAAACAUAUCUCCUCUUGUAGAACAAUUUACAUAAUCGAAAAUCAUAUAAUUCAUACUAAGGAAUAAUAAACUACUAAGGAAAUAGGAAUACUUUAUGUAUGAAUGGUUUCUUCCAAUGAGAAGAUAAUUAUGUAAGAAUUCUUUAGCUCCAACUCUGCCUGUUGUUUACUUGCAGUCUUAUGCAUCCAUGGGUUGGAAAGACCGAUAGCAUAUCCAGCCCUGGGGAGGACAGGUAAUGGAGAAAGGAAAAUUAUUAGUUCUUGACAAUGUCAGUUGACAUAGUUCAAACUCUAAAUCAUAUUUGUAUAUUUUUUAGACAAUAUUAAUUAAUGAGUGAUCAAUAAGAAAUGUACUUGCGAACUCAUUUUUCUUGUUCUAGCUGGCACAUAGUACCAUCCACUCAGUCACAUACUGUAGGUGGUAAUAUCAGUCUGACACUGCUCAGGUCAAAGUCAAGUUCAUAAAGACUCUUGAUUCAAACAGCUACCUUGUAAACAAUGCCAUUGUUCUCUUUAUAUGUUGCCUUAUUCAUUUCGAUAAUCAUGUCAUUUCAUCCUACAUUACUAAUUGUCUUGUUCACUUGCUUGCCCUCAGUGUUUUUGUUUGUCUAUGAUUGCAUAGAUUGAAAUGUGCAAUGUGCACACAUAUACAAAAACACAAAUGCACAUGUACACUGUAUACUCAUGAAGUCAUACAGAUAAAUACAUAAGCAUAUUACUAAUGCAUAAAUAUAUAUAUAUACACAUAUACAGAUAAAUGUGCAAACAAUGCAUAUAUACAUGUGUGUGCAUGCACAUACAGAACCACACAUGUGUACACGACUUGGAAAACAGGCAGUCAAAUAUUCACAUACACAAACACAGGUGCCUUCACUGGUAUGUACACAAAAAUGCAAUCAUAUACAUAUGCUUACACACAAAUACAUAUACACAUACACACAAAAAUAGACACAUACAUGAUCUAUACUGUACCUAGAGUUUUUCUGCCUGGCCCACGGUCAGGGCAAAUCUCUCUCACCUGCCUGUCCCACAGCUGCUCAGACCCAACCAAAUAAACACAGAGACUUAUAUUGGUUACAAACUGUAUGGUCAUGGCAGGCUUCUUGCUAACUUUUCUUACAGCUUAAAUUAAUCCAUUUCCAUUAAUCUAUACCUUGCCACAUGGCUCAUGGCUUACUGGCAUCUUCACAUGGUGAAGCUGCUGUGGCAGCUGGCAGUGUCUCUCUGACUCAGCCUUCCACUUCCCAGCUUUAUUCUCCUGCUUGUCCCACCUACACUUCCUGCCUAGCCAAUGGCCAAUCAGUGUUUUAUUUAUUGACUAAUCAGAGCAACACAUUUGCCAUACAGAACAUCCCACAGCACUUUCCCCCCUUUUUUUUUAAAAGGAAGAUUUUUAACCUUAACAAAGUAAAAUUACAUAUAAUUUGGGAAUUUGGGCGUAGCUUCUCUUACUACUUCCUGCUGGAGGGGGGCACUGUAUCUUUUGGGGACACAAAGAAAAUUUUAGAAUUAUGGAAUAGUCCGUGAGGGUGUAUCAUCUGAGCCAGUUGCCUUCAAACCAUUCUGGAUGUUGGAUCAUCUGUGCCAUAGUGUCACCGGAGACCUUUCAGGGGGUCUUGGCUGGUCAAACCUGAUGUAUCUUAAUCUGGAACAAAUCCAUAGACUCUGGCUUUCUGUGGGAACAAAAGCAGAGUCUCCUUUCCAAAGCAACAUAUCUUUAUAUCCAAAUUUUGAAGUCAAAGUAUCUUUAAAAUAUACAUAUUGGUUUAACUCAACAUCUUUUACGAUCAAAUGUUUUUCUGCAGUUAAAAAUCCCAAAGACAACACAAUCCAGAUUCUCUGUGUAAUAUUCAUCUUUAUGUGGCUGAUUUUUUAUAUUAAUUUUACUGUCUCUUUAAAGACUUUAUUUUUUAAAACUAUGUAUUUGUUUAUAUAACUGUAUAUAUCACCUUUUUUGUCUCUUUCAAGCCUACGUAUAUUUUACACACAUUUUAAACUAUUACAUCUGAAUCUGUCUUGUUGUGAAUCUAUUGCUUUAAACUGCAGCAGCUGUGGCUGCUGGCUCCACCCACCUCAACUUCCUAACAUGGCGGUAGGGUACGUUUACCACCAGCUCUGGGAGCUAUUGUGGGUCUAUGCUUUUAUCCAAGCAGCAUGUAGGCCAGAAACCUCUUUUUUUGUUUUGUACUAGUAAAGGCUAAAUCCACCAUGCAGCUUAAUGUGCUACUUGCAGAGGCCUCAUUCCUGCCAUACUGCAGGUUGAGUGCGCAUGCUAGAAACCCACCAGUAGCUCAAACCGGCAGCUGCCGCUCAUUUGAGAGAGACAAUUAGGAACUGUUUUUAGCUCCGUUUUAGAAUCUUUUCUCAAGUUUUAGGUGGAAACUCUUGCUACGUUGGACGCCAUUUGUACCUAGAGUUUUUCUGCCUGGCCCAUGGUCAGGGCAAAUCUCUGUCACCUGCCAGUCCCACAGCCACUCAGACCCAACCAGAUAAACACAAAGACUUACAUUGGUUACAAACUGUAUGGCCAUGGCAGGUUCUUGCUAACUUUUCUUACAGCUUAAAUUAAUCCAUUUCCAUUAAUCUACACCUUGCCACAUGGCUCAUGGCUUACCGGCAUCUUCACAUGGUGUUUCUCAUCGUGGCAGCUGGCAGUGUCUCUCUGACUCAGCCUUCCACUUCCCAGCUUUAUUCUCCUGCUUGUCCCACCUACACUUCCUGCCUAGCCAAUGGCCAAUCAGUGUUUUAUUUAUUGACUAAUCAGAGCAAAACAUUUGCCAUACAGAACAUCCAAAAGCACUAUACUGUACAACACAAGAAUGCAUGCAUACACACAUAUAUAUAUAAUACACAAAUAUGUACAUAAACACACAUGCAUAAAUUUAUACAAAACUCAUAUAGAACAAACUCAUAUGUAUAAUUACACACAUACACAAGCACACACACAAAUACACACUUAACACACAUAUACAUGCACACACAUAUAAAUAUAAAUACACACAAAUACAUACAUAUAUACAAUUCACACAUACACAUGCACAUACAUAAAUGCAUACCUAAAUACACAUACAUGUUUAUAAACACAAAACACAUACAUACACAAUGCAUACAUACACAGGUAUACACAUAUACACACACAUGCACAUGCACAUGCACACUUGCAAAUGUUUGUAUACACCUGCGCCCACAGAGUGAACUAGUUGCUGAAGCCAGGCUGAUGACCAUAACCCUAUCCUCACUGACUUUGAUGCUUUAUCUUUGUAAUAAUUUAUUUUCCCUCCUCACUCAACUGUGAGCCUUUUAAAUACUGUUUUCAGGAAUGGUAUCUUCAUAUGAUUUCAGAGGAAGAUGGGUUCUGGGUUGUGUGAAAUCUCAUGGUCACCACUCCGUUUCCUGCUCUUUGGGUCAGUAAUGAUCUUGCUGGAGACUAGCAGAAUAUGUUCUGUCAUCUUUAGUGUUUAGGGCCUCCUCCACAUGAAUACUAUGUAUUUAUGCCAUUCCGUCUUCGAGAGGGUCUCACAGCCCAGUCACACGUGAAAGGAGGAUUUAUCCCUUAUACACUCUAUGACAGAAUUAUUAAAGUGAGGUUUCUUUACUUUCUGUUUGAUGGAAUGUGUGUAAAUGCUCAUGAGGGAUUAUCAUUACUGAUAAGCCUGGAUGUUUUGCAGCUCAGUUUUAACUCACACACUGUUAAGACUAAACCUCUCUAGGAGUAAAGAGAACAGAUGCCACAGCUCAUUUGCAUGAAGAUGAGAGGAUUCUGAGUAAAGUGAAGUGGUAAUUAGGUCCAUGGAAAGGAAUCAGCACAGCAAUGGUGCCUCCCAGCAUAUGCUUGAACUUGCUGAGCACCUGGGCAAUUGUGGACGCAUCCUCUUCUCUUUCGUGGGAACUCCUGGGUCUUCACAGCCUUUGGCUAUCUGGAGAAAAUACGUAGUAUUUUCAGCUCUUGGGGGUGCAGACUGUUCUCUGAACAAUAAACAGAUAUAUUCAUUAACUUGAUGUUCUUUGCAAUUAUUUAUUUAAAGGCUUAAGGGGAUAUGAAAAACAAAACCUUUAUAAGUUGAAAUGAGACUUGCUACCUAUGCAACAGUCUGUUGGAACCCAUCAUUUAUCUUCUUUAUUAUCUUUCACAGAAGCACGGUGUGAGAAGAAAGGAGUUGCUGUGUAAUUAAUUGAGAUAUUUAAAAGGGAAUUUUCAUGUGAUAAAAGCCUGGAGUUACAUAUCAAGUGUUACCUUAGGAAGAUCUUCAACUUUCCAUCAAAAUUAUAAUUUCAGAGAGAUGUUUGAAUAUUACAUUUCCCAUAGCACACUGAAGAACAGAGUCAAAGAGUUUCAAUUUUACACAAGUAAAUCUACAAAAUGUGUUAAAAUUCCAGCAUCAGAAAUACACAUUGCCCAAUAUGUGUGAACAGUAAUUCCACCAGUAACAUAUGUGCACACCAAAUUGUGAACCAAGUACCUCUUCCCUUUACACAUUCUAGUCAGAAAUGAGGAAAAAUAUAUACCUAAGGAGAAUCACCUUGGUAAAGACACUAAUUUGGGAAUCAUUCAUAAAGGAGCAUGCAUAUAUCCAACCCCAUCCCCCACUCCUGCCAGUUAGAAAUGCAGUUAACAGUCUACUGCUUGUGACUGUGUCAGAGUGGAGGGAGAGCUUAUGGGACUGACUCUGUACUCCAGGUGUAAAGUGUCAUGUGGAACUGAAUUAGAGGACCCCUGGGCUCUGCCAGUGGGGAAUUUCUAGCACAUGGAGACCUGCCCCUGUCAGCAGUGAAUGUGUUAAGAAAGAAAUUUCACACUUAGAGCUGCCUUCCUCAAGGCACAGCAUCCUCCUGUGUGGACCAGGUUGUGAAAUUGAAUCAGACAGAAGAUGAUGCUCCUGAAAGUCUCAGUGAGAAGUGAGCAGUCGAUGGCUAUAUGCGUUAAUUUGUGUUUUGAAGGUAAAUGUUGUGUAAAAGAAUUAGAUUGGGAUAUGAA